rnacentral:lncRNA from 1 species
UUAAAUCUUAGGAUUUUUUCUGUUUUAAGGUGUUUAGGAUGGUUUUAUAUUGUUAGAUUUUGAAGAUUUAAUUCUUUGACUAUUUAAUUGUUUGUAUAGAAAGCGCAAUAUAAUCUUUUGAUGAAAUUUAUUUUAAUUAAUUAUUUUUAUAAAAAUACCGUCAUCUUAUUGUCGUUGUUGAUUGGUUAGCGACUUUAAUUUGUUUUGGUUUGAGUUGGGUUUAAUAUUAGGAUUUUAGGUUUUAAAUUUUGAGGUUUAGGGUCUAGAGUAUUAGGUUUUCAAUUUCAGAUUUUAGAUUUUGGGUUUGGAUUUUAGGUUUUGGAUUUUUAGGUUUAGGAUCUAAAGUAUUGAGUUUUCCAUUUUGGAUUUUUGAUUUUGAGUUUCGCAUUUGGGUUAUUAGAAAUACCGAAAAUGUCGCAAAGCUGAAAAAAAAAGGAAAAAAUAUUUCAGAAAUAUUGAAAAUGCUCUUGCGAUCGACAAUUCUGGAAAUCCUGGAACCAUGUUCCGCUGAAAUUAAAAUUGCUCUCCCCGCUAAAAUUGCACAUCCCCCAUACCAUCUCGUGCUUCACCGAGUUCUCAGCCAACACCACCUCCAACUUCUUCUCGAACCCUACACUUAUAGAAAGGACAAUUGAAGUAUUUCUCGAACUUCAGAGUCAUCAGUCUCACUGCACGGAAUUCACAAUCGCACUUCACUUCUUCUCCGAAGUAGGUGAACAAAUCCUUUGACUCGUCGAGGUGGCGAAACUUGUUCAUAACAUUUUUAUUGGACUUGUUUGAAGACAUUUUGACGAAGUGUAGGAGGAAGUGAGGAGUAAAGAAAUUGGUAUGAUGGGU